rnacentral:hammerhead_ribozyme from 1 species
GCACUACUGAGGAAUCGCACAAUGAGACGAAACGGCCGUCUAAUGC